CCUGCCCUGUGACUAUAUGUUUAACGGCCGCGGUAUUUUGACCGUGCGAAGGUAGCGCAAUCACUUGUCUUUUAAAUGGGGACCUGUAUGAAUGGCAUAACGAGGGCUUAACUGUCUCCUUUUUCAAGUCAAUGAAAUUGAUCUCCCCGUGCAGAAGCGGGGAUAAACACAUAAGACGAGAAGACCCUGUGGAGCUUUAGACACUAAGAGAGACCAUGUUAAACACUCCUAAAUACAGGGCCAAACUAAAUGCAUCCUCCCCUAAUGUCUUCGGUUGGGGCGACCAUGGGGAAAAAUCCAACCCCCACGCGGAAAGGGAGCACUUCCUCCUCCUAAAACCAAGAGUCACCACUCUAACGAACAGAAUCUCUGACCUCAAGAUCCGGCCUGCGCCGAUCAACGGACCAAGUUACCCCAGGGAUAACAGCGCAAUCCUCUUUUAGAGCCCAUAUCGACAAGGGGGUUUACGACCUCGAUGUUGGAUCAGGACAUCCUAAUGGUGCAGCCGCUAUUAAGGGUUCGUUUGUUCAACGAUUAAAGUCCUACGUGAUCU
rnacentral:rRNA from 1 species